GAAGGUAUAGCUCAAAGUGGUAGAGUGCAUGCUUAGCAUGUGCAAGGUCCCGGGUUCAAUCCCCAGUACCUCCU
rnacentral:tRNA from 1 species